GCUGGUGUGGCUCAGUGGAUAGAGCAUCAGCCUGCAGACUGAAGGGUCCCAGGUUUGAUUCCGGUCAAGGGCA
rnacentral:tRNA from 1 species